UUGGAGGGCAAGUCUGGUGCCAGCAGCCGCGGUAAUUCCAGCUCCAAUAGCGUAUAUUAAAGUUGUUGCAGUUAAAAAGCUUGUAGUUGAAUUUCGGGAUCAAUAUUUCGGUCAUGCCGUUGGUAUGCACUGUUAUCAUUGAUUUCUCACCUUCUAAAGAACCGUGAUGCCAUUAAUUUGGUGUUACGGGGAAUUAGGACCGUUACCUUGAAAAAAUUAGAGUGUUUAAAGCAGGCUCACGCUUGAAUACAUUAGCAUGGAAUAAUGAAAUAGGACAUCCGAUUCUAUUUUGUUGGUUUCUAGGAUCGAUGUAAUGAUUAAUAGGGAUAGUUGGGGGCAUUAGUAUUCAAUUGUCAAAGGUGAAAUUCUUGGAUUUAUUGAAGACUAACUACUGCGAAAGCAUUUGCCAAGGAUGUUUUCAUUAAUCAAGAACGAAAGUUAGGGGAUCGAAGACGAUCAGAUACCGUCGUAGUCUUAACCAUAAACUAUGCCGACUAGGGAUCGGAUGAUGUUAAUUUUUUAAUGACUCAUUCGGCGCCUUACGGGAAAC
rnacentral:rRNA from 1 species